GCAAGACAAUGCUAGACCUCAUGUGGCUGGAGUGUGUCAGCAGUUCCUGCAAGACGAAGGCAUUGAUGCUAUGGACUGGCCUGCCCGUUCCAUAGACCUGAAUCCAAUUGAGCACAUCUGGGACAUCAUGUCUUGCUCCAUCCACCAACACAACAGUGCACCACCGACUGUCCAGGAGUUGGCAGAUGCUUUAGUCCAGGUCUGGG